ACUCCUACGGGAGGCAGCAGUGAGGAAUAUUGGUCAAUGGAGGGAACUCUGAACCAGCCAUCCCGCGUGUAGGAAGACGGCCUUAUGGGUUGUAAACUAGCUUUUAUACAGGAAGAAACGUACCCGCGUAGGGUGCCUGACGGUACUGUAGGAAUAAGCACCGGCUAACUCCGUGCCAGCAGCCGCGGUAAUACGGAGGGUGCGAGCGUUAUCCGGAUUUAUUGGGUUUAAAGGGUCCGUAGGCGGGUUAAUAAGUCAGUGGUGAAAUCCCAUCGCUUAACGAUGGAACUGCCAUUGAUACUGUUAGUCUUGAAUGAGGGUGCAGUGGUUGGAAUGUGUAGUGUAGCGGUGAAAUGCAUAGAUAUUACACAGAACACCGAUUGCGAAGGCAGAUCACUAACCCUAAAUUGACGCUGAGGGACGAAAGCGUGGGGGAGCGAACAGGAUUAGAUACCCUGUAGACAUCAC
rnacentral:rRNA from 1 species